rnacentral:rRNA from 1 species
UACGUAGGGUGCGAGCGUUGUCCGGAAUUAUUGGGCGUAAAGAGCUCGUAGGCGGUCUGUCGCGUCGGCCGUGAAAACCUGUGGCUUAACCAUGGGCUUGCGGUCGAUACGGGCAUCACUGGAGUUCGGCAGGGGAGACUGGAAUUCCUGGUGUAGCGGUGAAAUGCGCAGAUAUCAGGAGGAACACCGGUGGCGAAGGCGGGUCUCUGGGCAACAACUGACGCUGAGGAGCGAAAGCGUGGGGAGCGAACAGG